rnacentral:rRNA from 1 species
UACGGAAGGCAGCAGUGGGGAAUAUUGCACAAUGGGCGCAAGCCUGAUGCAGCCAUGCCGCGUGUAUGAAGAAGGCCUUCGGGUUGUAAAGUACUUUCAGUCGUGAGGAAGGUGUUAAGGUUAAUAACCUUAGCAAUUGACGUUAGCGACAGAAGAAGCACCGGCUAACUCCGUGCCAGCAGCCGCGGUAAUACGGAGGGUGCGAGCGUUAAUCGGAAUUACUGGGCGUAAAGGGCACGCAGGCGGUUAAUUAAGUUGGAUGUGAAAUCCCCGGGCUUAACCUGGGAAUGGCAUUCAAGACUGGUUAGCUAGAGUCUUGUAGAGGGGGUAGAAUUCCAUGUGUAGCGGUGAAAUGCGUAGAGAUGUGGAGGAAUACCGGUGGCGAAGGCGGCCCCUGGGACAAGACUGACGCUCAUGUGCGAAAGCGUGGGGAGCAAACGAGGGAUUAGAUACC